GCGGCAUUCGUACAACGGCCAGUACACGGGCUUCCCAAGCCCGGAACACGGGUUCGACCCCCGUAUGCCGCU
rnacentral:tRNA from 1 species